rnacentral:rRNA from 1 species
GGACUACUAGGGUUUCUAAUCCUGUUUGCUCCCCAUGCUUUCGUGCCUCAGUGUCAGUAUCUGUCCAGAAAGUCGCCUUCGCCACUGAUGUUCCUUCCGAUAUCUACGCAUUUCACCGCUACACCGGAAAUUCCACCUUCCUCUACAGUACUCCAGUCACACAGUAUUAGGCGCAGUUCCCAGGUUAAGCCCGGGGCUUUCACACCUAACUUAUGCAACCACCUACGCACCCUUUACGCCCAGUAAUUCCGAUUAACGCUCGCACCCUCUGUAUUACCGCGGCUGCUGGCAC